GCUUACGGCCACACCAGUGUGAAUGCGCCCGAUCUCGUCUGAUCUCGGAAGCUAAACACAUUUGGGCUCGAUCAGUACUUGAAUAGGAGACCGCCUGGGAUCCCCGAGUGCUGUAAGCU
rnacentral:rRNA from 1 species